UAAUGUAGGGAAGAAGGUAACUAAGUGUUAACUAGACACUAACAUUUCAUCAAGAAAUGUUUGUUAAAUGAAUAAUGAAUAAAUUCAUCCAUAUCAAAUGGCCAGUUAUCUCUUUCAUUAUGUAUCUUGAAUACUGAUUCAAAUAAAUAUUAUUCUACCCAACCUAAAGAUGACCUCAUCUUAGACUAGCAUACAUUGCUUUAGUCUUAGAAUUAGAGAUAAAUUUUUUCUCAAAAUUCCUACAGCUAUAAUAGCUCUCAAGUUGCUGGAAGAAUGGAGAGAAAGCAUUUUAACUAAUAACACCCACAUGAAUAUGUAUUUGAAUUUGUACCAUUAAUAUGAAUAGUUUUUAUCCUCAGGAAUAAUUAUUAUUUGUGGCGUUAUGCCUGUUCAGCAUGUAUAUUGGAAAACUAAUUUCUCCACUACCAACAUUUGUCUCUACUGAGCCUGCAAUCAUUGCGUCUCAUCUAUCUGGCCAGAAGUGUGUACAUGAUCCAUCAUACCCAGACCCAGCCAAUCAUAGCAAAUUGCAUGGAGAGUGCUGAAGAAUAUCCAGCACCAAAAUGAUGGAGGAAAUCAGAACUCUUCCAGUUUUUACACACCACCUGUACUCAACCCACAGGCCUGUUCUCCUUUAAAUGUCUGGAAAGGAGCAAGCAGAGCAGCAGGUGGGUGUACCAAGUUUUCCAAUCUACAUUGGUGCUUUAAGUUUAUGAUGCAUGUGCCUUGAGAUGGCAGAAUUCAAGACAGGAAGUGAUCUAUCUUAGCAGAGAGUCAACAUAAUGUUCUGCUUUUCUCCCUACCAGAAAAUGAGGAAUGACUGAGCUGACAAGGCUCAGAGCUUGAAGAUUUCACAUGAGGUUCUGCACAGGGUUUCUUUCCAUGUGGAUUACCUAAUAAUAUCAGACCUUCGUUUUGAGGGAUGGAAAA
rnacentral:lncRNA from 13 species